AUGCGCUUAGAAAGAUGGGGAAAGGCGGGGGAAGGGGGCAGGGAAUGGUGGCCCGGGCCGCUCUGCGCAUGNGGUGAAGCAGGCGGGGGCCACAAAGGCUUCCUGGCUCCCCUCGCAGGGGGUGGGGGCGGGCCUCCGGGCACCUGUCCCACCGGCCAAGCGAGCCGAGGGCGCGCUAGGCCCACCUGGCAAUCCCAGGGCGCGGGGGACCACCCCCCCCACGCUCAAGCGAGGAGGCGAGGCGGGCCGCGGAGAGACGACAGAGCGCCAUGCCCGCGUCGGGACUGUCCCGCCCUCGCUGCGGCCCAGCACCGGGGACCACCGACAGGUGACCGGCGCCAGGCGCCACCGGCCCCUCACCAGAUAGGCUCGCACAGACGCCGGCGUCCUUUCUUUGCGUGGCGUACGCCGGCUCGAACCCACGCAUCCAGUCGGCGCCGCAGCGGUGUGAACAGCGUGGCUGCCCCUGAGACCUCAGCGACCUCAGGUGAGAAGAGAAAUUCUCCUGUGUUUCCUGCUGCGCCUCUAACCUGA
rnacentral:lncRNA from 1 species